UACGGAGGAUCCAAGCGUUAUCCGGAUUUAUUAGGUUUAAAGGGUGCGUAGGCGGCCAGUUAAGUCAGGGGUGAAAGACGGUGGCUCAACUAUCGCAGUGCCUUUGAUACUGAUUGGCUUGAAUGUACUUGAGGUAGGCGGAAUGUGACAAGUAGCGGUGAAAUGCAUAGAUAUGUCACAGAACACCAAUUGCGAAGGCAGCUUACUAAAGUAUGAUUGACGCUGAGGCACGAAAGCGUGGGGAUCAAACAGG
rnacentral:rRNA from 1 species